CGGUUGCUGAAUGAAAGGAUUGGUGCUUAAAUGGUGAUGCAAGAGUAAGUCAGGUUUACUGUGGCCCUGAAUGUUGCAGCACGCAUACCUGGUUCUAUGUCAAUUGCAGCCUGCUACCACAAUUUGCAGAGCCACAAACUGACUGCUAGACCAUAGUGUCCUGAAUUUGCAACAAGGCUACUUGAACUUGGCAUAUGCUUCCCAUCAUGAACAUUUAGACAUUCCUCCAUGGCCACAAACAAAGCUUGCUUGGAAAUGACUACUUCUCAAGACACGGA